rnacentral:rRNA from 1 species
CGGUGGAGCAUUGUUGGUUUAAUUCGACGUAACGCGAAGAACCUUUACCAGGGCUUGACAUCUUCUGACUGCUUAAGGAACUUUAAGCCUUCCGGGGAGUUUACUUUCCGGACAGAAAGACAGGUGGUGCAUGGUUGUCGUCAGCUCGUGUCGUGAGAUGUUGGGUUAAGUCCCGCAACGAGCGCAACCCUCGCCUCUAGUUGCCAGCAUUCGGUUGGGCACUCUAGAGGGACUGCCGGCGACAAGUCGGAGGAAGGUGGGGAUGACGUCAAAUCAUCAUGCCCCUUAUGACCUGGGCUACACACGUGCUACAAUGGGCGGUACAAAGGGCUGCGAACCCGCGAGGGGGAGCGAAUCCCAAAAAGCCGCUCUCAGUUCGGAUUGCAGGCUGCAACUCGCCUGCAUGAAGCCGGAAUCGCUAGUAAUCGCGGAUCAGCAUGCCGCGGUGAAUACGUUCCCGGGCCUU